GUGGAUUAGAUACCCUGGUAGUCCACGCCGUAAACGUUGGGCGCUAGGUGUGGGUCCCUUCCACGGGGUCUGUGCCGCAGCUAACGCAUUAAGCGCCCCGCCUGGGGAGUACGGCCGCAAGGCUAAAACUCAAAGGAAUUGACGGGGGCCCGCACAAGCGGCGGAGCAUGUUGCUUAAUUCGACGCAACGCGAAGAACCUUACCAAGGCUUGACAUGGCCUCAAAAGCCGCAGAGAUGCGGUGUCCGCAAGGGGGGGUCACAGGUGGUGCAUGGCCGUCGUCAGCU
rnacentral:rRNA from 1 species